AUUGAACGCUGGCGGCAUGCCUUACACAUGCAAGUCGGACGGCAGCACGGGUGCUUGCACCUGGUGGCGAGUGGCGAACGGGUGAGUAAUACAUCGGAACGUACCUUAUCGUGGGGGAUAACGCAGCGAAAGCUGUGCUAAUACCGCAUACGCCCUGAGGGGGAAAGCGGGGGGUCGAAAGACCUCGCGCGAUUAGAGCGGCCGAUGCCUGAUUAGCUUGUUGGUGGGGUAAAAGCCCACCAAGGCGACGAUCAGUAGAUGGUCUGAGAGGACGAUCAGCCACACUGGGUCUGAGACACGGCCCAGACUCCUACGAGAGGCAGCAGUGGGGAAUUUGGGACAAUGGGGGCAACUCUGAUCCAGCAAUGCCGCGUGAGUGAAGAAGGCCUUCGGGUUGUAAAGCUCUUUUGUCAGGGAAGAAACACCGGCUCUAACACAGUCCGGGAAUGACGGUACCUGAAGAAUAAGCACCGGCUAACUACGUGCCAGCCGCCGCAGUAA
rnacentral:rRNA from 1 species